UCAAGAUUUUUAAACAAGUCAAAUCAGACUUUUCCAGUACCCUAUUGCUCGAGACCAGACACUCGGUGCGGGUAAUUGAGGUGUUAUAAAAUAUAUCAGUACAUGUUAUCAGGUGCACAUUUCUCCGAUUUUCAAGUUCGAGUAUCCAUUUUUUCGAUCAUGUAUCGGAUAAGUUUGGAUUUGCACGUGUUUAGAGAUAAGAAUUGUUCGGUAUUUGUAUACAUUUGGUCGUUAAAAGGGCAUUAAUAUAUCGUAUUCUCUAUAUUAUGGUAUUUUGACCGUUUUGUGUGAGAUGUGCAAGAAAACAUGUGAAAACGAGCCAAAAACACAUUUAUCACUCAAGGUGUCAAUCGGGUCCGGUAGAGAAAGUUAUGGCUGUUUUACAGAUACUGCGCAAUUCCAGCGAUUCGCCGACUUGCAAGUCAGCGAGCCGCGGGAACAUGCACAGACGAAUUCAACUCAGAUUCGGAGUUUUGCGUAUAAAAGAGCACCAAACACGACUCCAAACACAUCAAUUCAUACCCAAAACACCGAACAUCCGUCCUAGAGCAAGAUGAAGACAUCCGAAAGACUUUAAUCAAUCAACGAUUUGAAGACUUCCAUCCGUUCAGCUCUUCUCCGUGACAUCCAUUCUCCUGUUAUUCAUGUUUUAAUUAUUUUCUAUUGAAUAUUUUGCUAGAAUUCUUUUGAACAUGAGUAGCUAAAUACUUUUGUAGUAUUUUUGGUGAA